UCGUAGCAGAUAGCUCAGUAACACGUGGCCAAACUACCCUAUGGAUCCGAAUAACCUCGGGAAACUGAGGCUAAUGCGGAAUAGCGUUCAUCGCCUGGAGUGGUACGAACGCGAAACGUUACGGCGCCAUAGGAUGUGGCUGCGGCCGAUUAGGUAGACGGUGGGGUAACGGCCCACCGUGCCCAUAAUCGGUACGGGUUGUGAGAGCAAGAGCCCGGAGACGGUAUCUGAGACAAGAUACCGGGCCCUACGGGGCGCAGCAGGCGCGAAACCUUUACACUGCACGCGAGUGCGAUAAGGGGACUCCGAGUGCGAGGGCAUAUAGUCCUCGCUUUUCACGACCGUAAGGUGGUCGUAGAAUAAGUGCUGGGCAAGACCGGUGCCAGCCGCCGCGGUAAUACCGGCAGCACGAGUGAUGACCGCUAUUAUUGGGCCUAAAGCGUCCGUAGCUGGCCACGCAAGUCUAUCGGGAAAUCCGCGCGCUUAACGCGCGGGCGUCCGGUGGAAACUGCGUGGCUUGGGACCGGAAGACCAGAGGGGUACGUCCGGGGUAGGAGUGAAAUCCCGUAAUCCUGGACGGACCACCGGUGGCGAAAGCGCCUCUGGAAGACGGAUCCGACGGUGAGGGACGAAAGCUCGGGUCACGAACCGGAUUAGAUACCCGGGUAGUCCGAGCUGUAAACGAUGUCUGCUAGGUGUGGCACAGGCUACGAGCCUGUGCUGUGCCGU
rnacentral:rRNA from 1 species